AGCAGCCGCGGUAAUUCCAGCUCCAAUAGCGUAUAUUAAAGUUGUUGCAGUUAAAAAGCUCGUAGUUGAAUUUCGGGGUCAGUAGGUUGGUCAUGCCACUGGUAUGUACUGGUCUCACUGAUUCCUCCUUCCUGAUGAACUGUAAUGCCAUUAAUUUGGUGUUGCAGGGAAUCUGGACUGUUACUUUGAAAAAAUUGAGUGUUUAAAGCAGGCUAACGCCCGAAUACAUUAGCAUGGAAUAAUGAAAUAGGACGUUCGAUCCUAUUUUGUUGGUUUCUAGGAUUGACGUAAUGAUUAAUAGGGAUAGUUGGGGGCAUUAGUAUUCAAUUGUCAGAGGUGAAAAUUCUUGGAUUUAUUGAAGACUAACUACUGCGAAAGCAUUUGCCAAGGAUGUUUUCAUUAAUCAAGAACGAAAGUUAGGGGAUCGAAGACGAUCAGAUAC
rnacentral:rRNA from 1 species